GAGGUGGGCCCUGAUCUAGUACAACUGUUGUUCUCAUAAAAAGAGGAAAUUUGGAAACACAUAUAUACACAUAGAGAACACCAUGUGAUGAGGAUGGCAGAGAUAUGAAUAAAGCACCUACAAGCCACAGAAUGCCACCAGUUGCCAGCAAGCCACCAGAAGCAGGGCAAAGGGGCAAAGACAGGAUGCGUGUUCCCUUCGCAAGAGAACACACUGAGCACUGGACCUGGCCCGCAGGAAGCCCUUGGAAGGGGUGAGCUGUUUGUAUUCCACCUUGGGGUCUCCAGCAGCCUUUCUGAUACCCAGGAGCAGGAUCUUGACCAUGGAGAGGACACUCAUAAUCCUACAGGUGAACCUGUGCCACCCCACUCUGGGCCCAGCUGCUUUCACCAAUGUCCCCCAGCAGUGGCAGCAUAAUACCAGCCCACUUCUUGUUGGGCGGGGGCAGGAUGCCGACCUCCAGCUGUAGCUGCCCCAAUUCUCCCACCAACACCUGUCUCUGAAGCCCUACCUGGAGAACGGCAGCACUCUAUUGACUUUUUGUCUCAAGGUCCUGAGCCAAAAGAGCUGUGUGUGGGUCAAGGGGCUGCCGCUGAGGCAUCUGAAACAAGUCCCCCUGAGCACCGUCAGCAGAGUCUCCUUCUGUGAUGUCCAGAUGGUGGUCCACAUGGAGGGACCUCCCCAGAGGCCUUUGUCUGCUGCUUCCAUCUCAGUCCCUCACCCCUGAUUUACCAACCCAAGGCUGAGGAGAGUGAUAAAUGGGAAGGCAUCCCAUAGGAGCAACCUCCCCCAGGUUCAGGAAUGCAGACUCCUAGUCACCUGCAGUAUCUCCACAGUCCUUCUCAGACUAAGAACAACCCUCUCUAGCAAAGGCCUGGAGAAGGAACAGACCUAGAGGGAGGCCCCAGACACCACACUCUGCUAGCUCUGCCUCUGAGAGCAAGCCAUACUAAAUCAGGGCUUGAAAUAUUUGAGCUACAUCAUGAGAGGCUGACAUGCAAGCUUGACAUUCAAGGCCUCCUGGCUGCCUGGCUCAUAAUGAACCAAUUCUGCAUCAUGGAGCAGCUCCUGGGGGUGGGGAAGCCCCCUCUGUGGCUAGAGGUAAUGAGAAUGUCAUAUUCUUUUAGAGGCCCUGAGGGGUUCUCGGGGGCCCCUCCCAGCAUUACCCCACAUUUUCCCCCUUCUCUGACUAGGAGUUACUUUAUGUUGUUCAUUUUGAGGGCUGCUUAAGAGCCAGAGUUUGAGAUUGCAGGAGGAAUGCAUGGACACAUGUAGCAAUUACAUUUGUGGUAGCUCCAGGUUACCUUCAGCUUUCAAAUACCCACAGGCACUUGGGGCUUAGGGAAGCCUGUGUCUAAUAAACUGCAAGUAUUUCAUUAAGCUGGCAUACCCAGUAGGGUUCCUUGAUCCCAAGACGGGCUACAUGCGUGCCACGUUGUCAUGCAGAGGCAGCAGUGGGAAACCUGGAAGGGGUGUAAGAGGAAAUUGGAAAGGUAGGGUUCACAUUCCUGGAAAGGACACUGGCGAGCUCAGGACUUCCA
ensembl:lncRNA